rnacentral:tRNA from 1 species
GGGGCCUUAGCUCAGCUGGGAGAGCACCUGCCUUACAAGCAGGGGGUCGGCGGUUCGAUCCCGCUAGGCUCCC